GAUCGAUAUCCCAAAAACUGAGGGAUAAGUUCGCGUAUAUACUAACAUUUUUUUUUACUCGCAGUCAGUAGAAGUAAAUAUAGUUCUAGAGAUGGCACUAUAGAAAUGAUUAUAAUUUCUGUUAGAUGAUUUCAACACAUUCCUGUAGAGAAAAUGUGUAUGGCUCAACACUUCAAUAUCUAUAUCUCUGUGAAUAUCAAUGUCUACGAAUAGCUCACACACUUGCACUGAAUUUAAAAUAAAAACAAUAACAAUACGUUUGAUAUGCGCAUAUACACACAUACACAUACCCAUACAUAUAUACAUACAUUAUAAGCUAUAGCAAAUGAUAUGAAGCGCAACAAAAAUAAACUUGUUAUGCUGUAAUAUUAUUAAGGUAAAUAUGUCAAGGUCGAAUGCUAUGUUUUGAGGAAAUAUCAAAAACAAAAAAAAAAAAAUUUAAAAAAAAACAAGUUUCAUGCACACAAAGAAAAUACGUAGAGGCCCAAAAUGGAAAUGUUGCAACUAUAAACUCAUGUUGUAAUUCCUUUAAAUAUGUUAGGGGACCUCCACAUAGCGGAAAAAGUGUAAACAUAGCAGCGAUAAUGAAAGCAAAAUAAUUGUUGAGAAAUAACGGUAUAUUUUCAGAGUGCCAAUUCAAUGAAAAGGAAGCAAAUAUUCAUACAUACAAGUAUACAAAUUUACUUACAUUGUUUUCGAUAUAAGCGAGCGUUACACUGCCGGAUACUGCUUUUUAUUAUUUUUGCGGUAUCAUAGUAAGAUAUUAGCUAUUCUUAGAAAAAAAAAAUAGGAGUCACUUAUUCAAAAUAUGGCUUUAUUCGAAUAAGGCAGCUCUGUUUCCUUAAAUUAAAAAGAAGACACGUGUUACAACUUACUCACUACUUCCGUUACCUUCCACAAAAGUGCAAGAAAGAAAUGUCAAAAAAAAUGUGCUGCACAUUUCGAAUUUAUUAUGAGUUCACAAAUUCAGCGCGAUAAAUGUCUACAACUUCCGGCUCUAAUGCUAUUUAUGAUGCCACGAAUUUAAUUAGCGAUAAACUGCAACUGAUGUGUGGAAACGAAAUACGCCUCCAAUUUUUCGGUUUUUCAUUUUCUUUUGAUAAGUGUAUUGCGUAGGCUAAAACGAAUACCAGUGGGAUUUGAAAAGCGCGGUCUUUCAAAGUGAUUUCAAAUUUUUAGUUUUUUGUAUACAAAGCACGUUAAAUAUACAAAUUUAAUUGCUGAGGCACGACAGUGACGUUUUCACGGGUAUUUGAAUUUUAAAUGUCUUCUAGUUUAGUUUAAACAAAAGGCAACAAAUAUUUCAGCUGUUUACAUUAUAUAACCACAUAUGUAUCUAUCAUGAAUCAAAAAACUGAACUGAACUGAACUGAUCGUGUGCAAAAUUUCAGAUCGACAUUUCAAAAACUGAGGCACUAGUUCGCGUAUAUAUACACGGACAGUAUGAGGUGGGCAUUAAUUGAUCGACAGAGAUCACUCAGCAGACUAAUCAUUAUAACAUACCCUGUUAAAAAAUCUAUGAAAUCGGUAGAGACCUUGCUCUAUACCCUAUAUACUUAAUAUAGGAAUCUGGUUGAUUUUAUGCCGAAUAUAUAAGCUAAAACAUAUACAUAUAGCAUGAGUUAGCGCUGAGUCUAUUGAUUAAUACCCUUUCCUCCAUAUAAUUGUACGGCUGAUAAGCUGAAGCUGAAUUCAAAUGCAAAUUUUUUUAAUACAAAAAUUUAAUUACAAAUUGCGAGUGAAUAUACCAAAUAAAAUUGAACAAUACAAAAAGAGAUAUAUACAAUAAUAGGAUUGCAAUUGAAAAGUUAAGUAGGUAAUGAAUUUUACAAUGAAUACUGUGCAUAUAGAAGCUUUAAGAUACUACUUUUAUUUUCCGGUUUUAUGUACUCUAAAGCAUUUAUCGCCGUCAACACCACUAAUUUCAAAUUUUUACUUAGUUUUGUUCAAGAUUACAUCAUUCUUGUCUUGAUUUUCUUUUUCUCAACAUUCGUAAGGGUAUUUAGCGCUUAUUAAUUACUUGCUAUUGGUAUGUUUUGUUCCCGUCACAAGGCUGACGCAUUUGUAUACCCUGAACAAGUUAUAUUACGUUUGUCACGAAAUUUGUAAUACACAAAAACAAUUUCUUGUAUGAAAAACUUUUUUUUUUGACAAAAUGUCUUCAGGAAAUCUACGAACAUGUUGUGCAGCAUAGAGCUGCCAUUGAAAUUAAACGCGCAAAAUCAGGAAAAAGGUCUUUUUAUGCACUUUUAUGCUAUAAGAAAUGCAUCUGUAUAGGGUAUUAUGGCUUCGGUGCAGCCGAAGUUUACCUUUCUUUAUCGUAAUAGGUCAUUAUGGUAAUGUCGAAUUAAUUUGUAGUAAUUGCCGAAGCUACGAAGCUUUAUACAAUUAAAUAAAAUAAUGUAACUCAGGGAGUUUAGACUACAUAACUACAUAAACUUAUUAACGUUACAAAUCUACAAGCCUGAGUUCAAUUGCAAUCAAUUUAACAGCUCCAGAAGCUAUGCUGAACAACGUGGAUAAAUGUUAAGGUUUAAACGAAAACCCACAGUUGAUAAGCUGUGCAAAAUCAAGUAAUUGUUUAAAUAAUAUAUAACGCUAAAUAUAUUUAUUAAAUAUGUACACAACAACAAAUCAAUUAUGAAGAGAAAUAAUAAGUAAUAGCUGCGUUAGGUUUUGAACCAGCGCGCAUUUGCUGUUAUAAGCCUAAAUAUAUAAAGAAACGAAGCAUUUACGCGCUACACCACGCCGACAAACCAUAUAAAGUGGAAUAAAUGUGUGUAAGACAAGCAACAAAUUCGUAAAGCGUUUGUGGAGAAAAGCAAAACAUAGUGAAAUGAAUAGCAUACCUUCAGUGGGCUACCUAGACAUAAUUGAGUCGAUAUAAAUAUAUACAUAGUGACCCUGUAUAAAAUAGUAACACUUUUCAAAAUGGCAUAUAGAAGAAAUGAAGAGGAGUUCAAAGAAGACAUUCAAUUUAAAGUUUGACAAUGAAUGAACAAUAAGUCAAUAUAUUAAAUAUAAAUAAUAAGACCAUACACACUUAUUUAUUAUAAUAUUCUAAACAUACCAACGAGUUAUUUCGCAUAAAUGAAAUGGACCGAGUUUGAAACUUGAUGCGUUAUCUCACCAAGCGUCUCUUUAUGUACACCUCCGAAUAAUAUCAAUUCACCGUGUCCCGCAACCAUUGUGGAAAGUAUCAACCUUUCCGGUGCUCCAGGUAUAACACCAUAAUUCUUGUACUCUACCCAUUGCAAAUGAGGAUCAUCUUUAUCCAAUGCCGCCGAGAGAUCACAAACGAAUAACGAUAGAACAUUGCGUUUGAUUCGCUUAGGCGAUGGCUCUUUGAUAGCUUUAGGUUCGCCCACCAUUGCACUACGCCUUGAAUUUCUUAAAGCAUUCAUCUUUUCCUCCAUUCGACGUAUACGCUCAUUAUGAUCUUUUGAAACGCUACGCGGCCGGUUUUGUACAUUAAACGCUGCCAUUCGAAAUGGAUCCUGCAAAUAAAAAAAUGGUUAUUUAUAUACCGUUUUUGAAUAAACAAAAGAUGUGUUUAUUUAAUAGUAAACAUAAAAAUCAUAACUGUUUAGAUUUGUUGUUAAAUUAUUAAUAUAUACAUGCACAACUUUCGUUUUGAUUUACGUGAGUACCGGCCGUCGACGGCCUAACCUCGAGGUGCUCAAAAGCACAACGGAUCAAAACAUUGCGUGGAUCAGCGCCCCAAAUAACGCAAGCUAUUUGCAAGCAUUAUUUGGAUACCAAUUGAUAGUGUGGAAGGGACACCUAUAUCAGCUUGGUCGGGUUCGACGCCCACCGAAAAUCUCUGCCGUGCUGUGGAUCCGGCACCCGGUUGCGUAUGCAACUCCACAUUGAAUCGAAUUUUUCAGUUCUUCCAGCAUUUAAGUUUAAACCACAGUCACCACGAAUCUUCCCAAAGCGCUAAGCCCAAUUAGCAGAAAUCCAAGAGCUUUCUGCCCCCCGUGGUACCAGAUUUAAGUCUCCGGUAAGAUAUUUAAGCCGAAGCUACUGUCAGUUGAGCACCUAUCAAACUCAAUGACUGCUGACAUUUGUCGCUUGAACUUCAAAUGUCUUUUCAUUAGAAAGAAUCUAUAGUCUAAAUAUCAGUUCAAGCCAACUAUUAUAGCACUAUUUCUGACAUAACUACACUGAUAUUUCGUGGCAAAGCUUAAUAACAGACAUAGCGCAUAUGGAUUAUAGUCGCCUCUUACCACAGGCAUACCUUACCGCUGGCAAUUUCUACCCCCUAUCCGCUGGGGGUUACACAUGGACAAUCAUAUUCGUACUUACUUCAUACAAUUCGUCGAAACGUUUGGGCAAUAAUGGUUCGUUGUCCCUACAACGUAAUGCUAAAUUACGCUGCAAACGGUUCGCAGCUUCAAUGUCGUUCGAAUUGUUAAGACCAGGAAUAACCUCAUUGCCGUUUCUGGGCGAAGGGGUCCCAUUUGUACGAGAACCGGAUGAACUUGAUGCUGAUGGUGACGACGACGGUGACGGUGACGGCGAGGGUACUGAAGAAGUAGAAUUUGAACAAGAUGGACGGUUUUGGUUACACUCCUCUACAGCAUUUGCAUUAGCAGGUGAAUUUGCAUGCAAGUUACCAAGACGACCACGUCGUGGUUGAAG